GAUGAACGCUGGCGGCGUGCCUAAUACAUGCAAGUCGAGCGAACGGACAAGAAGCUUGCUUCUCUGAUGUUAGCGGCGGACGGGUGAGUAACACGUGGAUAACCUACCUAUAAGACUGGGAUAACUUCGGGAAACCGGAGCUAAUACCGGAUAAUAUUUUGAACCGCAUGGUUCAAAAGUGAAAGACGGUCUUGCUGUCACUUAUAGAUGGAUCCGCGCUGCAUUAGCUAGUUGGUAAGGUAACGGCUUACCAAGGCAACGAUGCAUAGCCGACCUGAGAGGGUGAUCGGCCACACUGGAACUGAGACACGGUCCAGACUCCUACGGGGGGCAGCAGUAGGGAAUCUUCCGCAAUGGGCGAAAGCCUGACGGAGCAACGCCGCGUGAGUGAUGAAGGUCUUCGGAUCGUAAAACUCUGUUAUUAGGGAAGAACAUAUGUGUAAGUAACUGUGCACAUCUUGACGGUACCUAAUCAGAAAGCCACGGCUAACUACGUG
rnacentral:rRNA from 1 species